rnacentral:rRNA from 1 species
GACGAACGCUGGCGGCGUGCUUAAUACAUGCAAGUCGACUGAACUUAAGGUAGCAAUAUUUUAGGGGAGGUGGCGCACGGGUGAGUAACACGUAGGUAAUCUGCCUUUAGGACUGACAUAACCCAGAGAAAUCUGGGCUAAUAUCAGAUGAUGCAGCGGCUCGACAUCGAGACAGUUGUUAAACCUUCGGGGCCUAAAGAUGAGCCUGCGUCUGAUUAGGUAGUUGGCGGGGUAAUGGCCCACCAAGCCAUCGAUCAGUAGCUGGUCUGAGAGGAUGAUCAGCCACACUGGAACUGAGACACGGUCCAGACUCCUACGGGAGGCAGCAGUAAGGAAUAUUGCUCAAUGGCCGAAAGGCUGAAGCAGCAACGCCGCGUGGAGGAUGAAAUACUUUUGUAUGUAAACUCCUGUGAGAAGGGAAAAAUAUGCAGAUUUUCUGCGUUGAUUGUACCUUCAGAGGAAGCCCCGGCUAACUACGUG